UUUAUAGUUUAAAAAAAACAUUGGUCUUGUAAAUCAAAAUUAAGUUUAUACUUUUAAAACUUCA
rnacentral:tRNA from 1 species